UACGGAGGGUGCGAGCGUUAUCCGGAUUCACUGGGUUUAAAGGGUGCGUAGGUGGGAAUGUAAGUCAGUGGUGAAAUCUCUGAGCUUAACUCAGAAACUGCCAUUGAUACUAUGUUUCUUGAAUUUUCUGGAGGUCAGCGGAAUAUGUCAUGUAGCGGUGAAAAUGCUUAGAUAUGACAUAGAACACCAAUUGCGAAGGCAGCUGGCUACAGAGAUAUUGACACUUGAGGCACGAA
rnacentral:rRNA from 1 species